GCAUAUCAAUAAGCGGAGGAAAAGAAACCAACAGGGAUUGCCCCUAGUAACGGCGAGUGAAGCGGCAACAGCUCAAAUUUGAAAUCUGGCGUCUUUGGCGUCCGAGUUGUAAUUUGCAGAGGGCGCUUUGGCAUUGGCAGCGGUCCAAGUUCCUUGGAACAGGACGUCACAGAGGGUGAGAAUCCCGUACGUGGUCGCUAGCCUUUACCGUGUAAAGCCCCUUCGACGAGUCGAGUUGUUUGGGAAUGCAGCUCUAAAUGGGAGGUAAAUUUCUUCUAAAGCUAAAUACUGGCCAGAGACCGAUAGCGCACAAGUAGAGUGAUCGAAAGAUGAAAAGCACUUUGGAAAGAGAGUUAAAAAGCACGUGAAAUUGUUGAAAGGGAAGCGCUUGCAGCCAGACUUGCCUGUAGUUGCUCAUCCGGGUUUUUACCCGGUGCACUCUUCUAUAGGCAGGCCAGCAUCAGUUUGGGCGGUUGGAUAAAGGUCUCUGUCACGUACCUCCUCUCGGGGAGAACUUAUAGGGGAGACGUAAUGCAACCAGCCUGGACUGAGGUCCGCGCAUCUGCUAGGAUGCUGGCGUAAUGGCUGUAAGCGGCCCGUCUUGAAACACGGACCAAGGAGUCUAACAUCUAUGCGAGUGUUUGGGUGUCAAGCCCGAGCGCGUAAUGAAAGUGAACGGAGGUGGGAACCUUUCGGGGUGCACCAUCGACCGAUCCUGAUGUCUUCGGAUGGAUUUGAGUAAGAGCAUAGCUGUUGGGACCCGAAAGAUGGUGAACUAUGCUUGAAUAGGGUGAAGCCAGAGGAAACUCUGGUGGAGGCUCGCAGCGGUUCUGACGUGCAAAUCGAUCGUCAAAUUUGGGCAUAGGGGCGAAAGACUAAUCGAACUAUCUAGUAGCUGGUUCUGGUGAGG
rnacentral:rRNA from 1 species